AAUUGACCUCGGAUCAGGUAGGGAUACCCGCUGAACUUAAGCAUAUCAAUAAGCGGAGGAAAAGAAACCAACCGGGAUUGCCCCAGUAACGGCGAGUGAAGCGGCAACAGCUCAAAUUUGAAAUCUGACCCUGUCGGGGUUCGAGUUGUAAUUUGUAGAGGAUGUUUCGGGCGCGAAGCCGGUCUAAGUCCCUUGGAACGGGGCGUCAUAGAGGGUGAGAAUCCCGUCUGUGACCGGCGAUCAAGCCUCUGUGAAACUCCUUCGACGAGUCGAGUUGUUUGGGAAUGCAGCUCAAAAUGGGUGGUAAAUUUCAUCUAAAGCUAAAUACUGGCCAGAGACCGAUAGCGCACAAGUAGAGUGAUCGAAAGAUGAAAAGCACUUUGGAAAGAGAGUUAAAAAGUACGUGAAAUUGUUGAAAGGGAAGCGCUUGCAACCAGACCUGCCCGCGGGCGAUCAGCCGUCCCUUCCAGGGCGGUGCACGCGCCCGCGAACAGGCCAGCAUCGGUUCGGGCGGCCGGAUAAAGGCCCGGGGAACGUAGCUCCUCUCGGGGAGUGUUAUAGCCCCGGGUGCAAUGCGGCCCGCCUGGACCGAGGACCGCGCUUCGGCUAGGAUGCUGGCGUAAUGGUUGUAAGCGGCCCGUCUUGAAACACGGACCAAGGAGUCUAACAUCUAUGCGAGUGUUUGGGUGUCAAACCCAUGCGCGUAAUGAAAGUGAACGGAGGUAGGAACCCACCAGGGCGCACUAUCGACCGAUCCUGAAGUCUUCGGAUGGAUUUGAGUACGAGCAUAGCUGUUGGAACCCGAAAGAUGGUGAACUAUGCCUGAAUAGGGUGAAGCCAGAGGAAACUCUGGUGGAGGCUCGCAGCGGUUCUGACGUGCAAAUCGAUCGUCAAAUUUGGGUAUAGGGGCGAAAGACUAAUNGGGCCU
rnacentral:rRNA from 1 species